GGGUGAUUAGCUCAGCUGGGAGAGCACCUCCCUUACAAGGAGGGGGUCGGCGGUUCAUCCCGUCAUCACCCACCA
rnacentral:tRNA from 2 species